UCCGUGAUAGUGUAGGGGUUAUCAUACUCGCCUCUCAGGAUAUUCAAGUAUCAUGGCACGCGAGUGACCGGGGUUCGAUUCCCCGUCUCGGAA
rnacentral:tRNA from 1 species